rnacentral:piRNA from 1 species
UGUUCUGUGAAUAUGAAUUUGAUGCUGGCG